rnacentral:rRNA from 1 species
CAUAAGCGUAUAUUAAAGUUGUUGCAGUUAAAAAGCUCGUAGUUGAACCUUGGGCUUGGCUGGCCGGUCCAUCUUUUUUGAUGCGUACUGGACCCAGCCGAGCCUUUCCUUCUGGCUAGCCUUUUGGCGAACCAGGACUUUUACUUUGAAAAAAUUAGAGUGUUCAAAGCAGGCCUUUGCUCGAAUAUAUUAGCAUGGAAUAAUAGAAUAGGACGUUAUGGUUCUAUUUUGUUGGUUUCUAGGACCAUCGUAAUGAUUAAUAGGGACGGUCGGGGGUAUCAGUAUUCAGUUGUCAGAGGUGAAAUUCUUGGAUUUACUGAAGACUAACUACUGCGAAAGCAUUUACCAAGGACGUUUUCAUUAA